AGAGCGCUCCCUGGUAGGCAUUUGCCCCGGUGGAACGCCUCACCAGAGCAGCGCACAGCAGGCCCCCACAGAGGAUCAAUGCAGUGGCUGAACACCAGGAAGGAACCGGCACUUUAAGUCUGGACAUCUGAAACUUGCUAGAACCCUGUCGAGCAUAACUGUGUAGAGGUGUUGGACUCAAGUUUACUCUAGCAGACCUGACCUCCAGGACCAGCCUUGGGCAUCAGUAAACUGGGAGCUAUACAUGGAUGGGAACAGCUUCAUCAACCCACAAGGAGAGAGAUGUGCAGAAUAUGCGGUGGUAACCCUGGACACUGUCGUUAAGCUGAGCUCAUUGCUUUAAUUCGGGCCUUAGAACUCAGUGAAGUUGCAGGUGUUGUGUCUUGGAUCCAUCACAGUCAGCUAACACUGGCAGCUCAGGACAAAUGGACCAGCCAGCAGGAUGCAGAUCAUCCAACCCGGCUGAUCCUGAGACGAGACCAAGCUGCUGCUGAAGACGACAGCCCUGCUCUGGUCACUCCAGAGGCUGAUCAGUCUAUGCACCGCUGAAGUUUGAGGAGACAACAAGCCCUGCUCUAGUCACACACUGGCAGCUGACUAGUCUAUGUAUGGCCGAAGCUUGAGGAUUCAUCAAGCAAGUAAAUGUAGUUAAAAAUCUUAAGACUAAUAGUUUUCCUGUAAUACUAACUGUUUUCCUAUUGUUCGGUCGCUGUAUUCAACCUUUUUCCCAGGUAAGGACCUCUUUUGUCCUUGCUGGAUAUGAAUAUGCUGUACAUUUUUUUGUUGUUGUUACCCCCCAUAACCAUGCUAGAAGAAACACCUAUAUAAGGUGUCCCCACUGUACACAUACUACUUAGGAAACCCAGACCUGUCCAGCCCAGUAGCAAUUCUGAGUCUUUCAAUCAUUCUUUAAACAUAUAAACCAAAAGUUACCAGAACCUCCUCCUUUAGCAAAAACAGAAAAAAACUAUUUGCUCAGGUGGCUGAAAACAUUGCUAGCUGCCUAGAUGCUUCUUCAUGUUAUGUUUAUAAAAAGGCUAACAUAAGAGACCAAUGGCCUUGAGAAGAAAAAGAGUUAAUGCCUCAAGAUAACUUUAACUAACUCUUUCCCCAAACAGACGCCACAAGUUCAAGCAUCUGGCUCUUAAAACUUCUAUUAUUAAAAAAUACUGUGUUACUCGCUAGGAAAAAGCUUUCAAGACCCAGUAAAAAAAACUAACCUGCUUAAGACAUGACAAAUUUGGUACGUGUGCAUAUACAGGUUUAACACAGGUUUGAUCCUAGAUGUUCAUUUAGAAAAUAGUUUCCAGCUGUAAGAAAAUUUAAAACCCUCAUUGUAAGUGUAUUACUAGUAAUAGGAACUUGCUUGCUGCUCGCCUGUAUAUUAUACUUGCUCCUUCAAAUGAUAAAAGGUUUUGUACCUACCAUGGUUCAUCAGAAAACUUCAACACAAGUGUAUUACAUAAAACACUAUCACUCUGUCUCACCAAAAGACUCAAAAAGUAAAAAUAAAAGUGAGAACUCCCACUGAUUAGUGAAAAUUCUGAAAGGGGGAGAUAAGGAAGGAGACCACUACUACUCCUGCUGCCCCCUUCUCCCCACCUUGCCUAGUUCACAAGACAGGAAGAGAGAAAAAGCAAAAAGUUGGAAAAAAAACAAAAGUAAGAUAAAUAGCCAGACAACACUUGGCACCACCACCCGGCACUAGGAGUUAAAAAAAGUAAUAAUGAUAACAUCAACCCCUGACCUAAACUACUUGUGUUAUCUGUAAAUUCCAGACACUGUAUGAAAAAAAGCAUUGUAAAACUUUUUGUUCUGUUAGCUGAUGCAUGUAGCCCCCAAUCACAUUUCCCAUGCUUGCUUGAUGUAUCACGACCCUUUCACGUGGACCUCUUAAAUUUGCAAGCCUUUAAAAAUGCCAAGAAUUUCUUUUUUGGGGAGCUCGGCUCUUAAGACGUG
rnacentral:lncRNA from 1 species